AUGGCCGACGUGGGUCAAAGUGUAGUAUCUGUUCUUAUCAGGUUAAGAUCUCAUACGGGUUGUACGAGUGUUUGAACCCAAGAUAUUAAAUUUAUUUUUGUAAUUUGGCGGAGUGGUUCAAGCCUGCUUCACCUCCACUGCGUGUCGAACCAGUAUUGCACGAUGCUCUGAAUUUUCGCUCUACGGAC